GUGGGGAAUAUUGGACAAUGGGGGGAACCCUGAUCCAGCCAUGCCGCGUGUGUGAAGAAGGCCUUUUGGUUGUAAAGCACUUUAAGCGAGGAGGAGGCUACCGAGAUUAAUACUCUUGGAUAGUGGACGUUACUCGCAGAAUAAGCACCGGCUAACUCUGUGCCAGCAGCCGCGGUAAUACAGAGGGUGCAAGCGUUAAUCGGAUUUACUGGGCGUAAAGCGCGAGUAGGUGGCCAAUUAAGUCAAAUGUGAAAUCCCCGAGCUUAACUUGGGAAUUGCAUUCGAUACUGGUUGGCUAGAGUAUGGGAGAGGAUGGUAGAAUUCCAGGUGUAGCGGUGAAAUGCGUAGAGAUCUGGAGGAAUACCGAUGGCGAAGGCAGCCAUCUGGCCUAAUACUGACACUGAGGUGCGAAAGCAUGGGGAGCAAACAGGAUUAGAACCCCUGUAGUCC
rnacentral:rRNA from 1 species